AUGCAGGACCCGAAAAAAAUCCUUUUGGACGUCCAACAAGAAGUUGAGCUGGCAUCAGCAAAUGCUGAUUUGAAGAAGCAAUUUGCAAUCAAGGAGCUCGGUUGGGAGCAGGAAAAAGCUAAAAUAAUGAAGGCUUUACGUGCAGAGAGAUGCAUCAGGAAACAAAUACUGGCUGAAAAGAAGGCCCUUGAGAAGAGGAUGGAACAGGGGGUCAGCCCUCCUAGUGGACCUGCAAACAAGGGCUGCCUAGCCCCACCAGUGCUGGACCAGCAAAGUCCCAGCAGAGAGCCUGAGGGCUUGUUAAAAACCAUAUCGGUCAUCGAAAAACAAGCCAGCGAGCUCUACUUGGAAAACACUGUCUUGAAGGAGCAGAUGGUCACCAAGGAGGUCAGUUGGGAGCAGGAAAAGGCCAAAAUAAUGAAGGCUCUACAGUCAGAGAGAUCCAUCACAAAACAAGCAGAGGCUGACAGGAAAGCCUUUGAGAAAGAGAAGGAGGAACUGACCAGCUCUCUUUGUCAAACUCUGCUUGAAGAGAAAAAUAAAUUCAACAGUGCCAUUGAGUCCUUGAUAGCGCAGAAUGAGAAGUACAAAGAGAACUGGAUUAAAGAGAAUAAUAUCAAAUGUUCCAUGAACAAAGUUGAUAUUGUUAACUUGGACUCCGCGUGGAAAAAACGAUGGCUUGUAAGAGAGGAGGAGCAUUCUGCAAGGAUCCAAACUCUGCAAGACGACUUUGACAGACAGAAAAGCCAGAUCACCCUGGAAAAGGACAAUCUAAUCACUAACACAACCAGUGAAAAGAAAUCUCUUGAAGAACAGAACUGGAGCGAGGCCAAGCAGAAACGGCAAGAAAGCGAGAUGAUCCUGGUGGAGGCCGAGUGGAAAAUAAAACUCAUGGCUCUGGAAGAUCAAAUGAGACGUGAGUUUUCCGCAAAGGAGGCCAGGGGACUUGACUUGCAGAGACUCAGUAAGGAGGCCUCGGAGAAGGAGAUUACUGAUAUCAAAUUCGCCUUGGAGAUGAAGGAGAAAGAAAUCGAGAUCAUCCGCAGCGAGGCAGAGCGUAAAAUCAAAUCUGCGACUCUGGAUCAACACAGCCACACCUUCCAUGCACUACAGGAGGAGCACUUCCAGAGAGGGCAGGAGAGUGCCAGACUGAGCAGAGAGAUGGAAAAGGAGUUGCGUCUCAAAGUGAACCAAUUGGAGGAAAAUAUCAGGCUCCUGACACAACAGAAAGAUAACCUCCAUGUUUGGAACCUCCACCUUCAGGCGUUCGCCCAAAAAACUGACAAGGAAAAGGCGCAGAUGAGAAAGGAGGAGAAGAAGUUAGAGAAGGAGAAAGAAAAGAUGCUGAAGAAGCAAAUGAAGGAACGUCAGGAGGCAGAAAAUGACCUGCUGAAGAGGCAGAAGAAAGAGAGGGAAGAAAAGGAGAAAAGAGAAAAGGCGGAACUGAAGAAACAAAAGAAAGGAAAAUAG
ensembl:lncRNA